rnacentral:ncRNA from 1 species
GCUAUCCUAUUCUCAGGGCUGUGUAUACUGUCCAGUGAGCAUGUAGUAAGGGCAGUGCUGACAAUGCCCACAUAAUAUGCCCAUAUCAACUACAGCUUUGCUUUGCCUUGGUGCAAUUUUUAGAAAA